UACGUAGGGGGCAAGCGUUGUCCGGAUUUAUUGGGCGUAAAGAGCGUGUAGGCGGCCGUACAGGUCAGCUGUGAAAACUCGAGGCUCAACCUCGAGACGUCGGUUGAAACCGUACGGCUAGAGUCCGGAAGAGGAGAGUGGAAUUCCCGGUGUAGCGGUGAAAUGCGCAGAUAUCGGGAGGAACACCGGCGGCGAAGGCGGCUGCCUGGACCAGUCCUGACGCUGAGGCGCGAAAGCGAGGGGAGCAAACAGG
rnacentral:rRNA from 1 species